rnacentral:rRNA from 1 species
CGGACGGGUGAGUAACGCGUGAGAAUCUGCCUUCAGGUCGGGGACAACCACUGGAAACGGUGGCCAAUACCCGAUGUGCGCAACGUGAAAGAUUUAUCGCCUGAAGAGGAGCUCGCGUCUGAUUAGCUAGUUGGUGGGGUAAAAGCUCACCAAGGCGACGAUCAGUAGCUGGUCUGAGAGGAUGAUCAGCCACACUGGGACUGAGACACGGCCCAGACUCCUACGGGAGGCAGCAGUGGGGAAUUUUCCGCAAUGGGCGAAAGCCUGACGGAGCAAGACCGCGUGAGGGAAGAAGGCUCUUGGGUCGUAAACCUCUUUUGUCAGGGAAGAACACAAUGACGGUACCUGACGAAUAAGCCUCGGCUAACUCCGUGCCAGCAGCCGCGGUAAUACGGAGGAGGCAAGCGUUAUCCGGAAUUAUUGGGCGUAAAGCGUCCGUAGGUGGCUAGUCAAGUCUGCGGUCAAAGACUGGGGCUUAACCCUGGAAAGGCCGUGGAAACUGACGAGCUAGAGUGCAGUAGGGGUAGAGGGAAUUCCCGGUGUAGCGGUGAAAUGCGUAGAGCUCGGGAAGAACAUCGGUGGCGAAAGCGCUCUACUGGACUGCAACUGACACUCAGGGACGAAAGCUAGGGGAGCGAAUGGGAUUAGAUACCCCAGUAGUC